GAUGAACGCUAGCUACAGGCUUAACACAUGCAAGUCGAGGGACCGGCGCAGGGGUGAGUAACACGUAUCCAACCUGCCCUUUACUCGGGGAUAGCCUUUCGAAAGAAAGAUUAAUACCCGAUAUAAAGGAUGGGGAUGCGUUCCAUUAGGUUGUUGGUGAGGUAACGGCUCACCAAGCCUUCGAUGGAUAGGGGUUCUGAGAGGAAGGUACCCCACAUUUGAACUGAGGCACGGUCCACACUGCGACGGGAGGCAGCAGUGUGUAAUAUUGGUCGAGCGGCGCUCUCCUGACCCAGCCACGUAGCGUAAAGGAUGAAGGGUUUUGGGUCGUAUACUUCUGUUAUAUAAGAAUAUGUAUUAUAUGAAUAAGGAUCGGCUAACUCCGUGCCAGCAGCCGCGGUAAUAC
rnacentral:rRNA from 1 species